rnacentral:rRNA from 1 species
AGACCCGAAACCCGGUGAUCUAGCCAUGGGCAGGUUGAAGGUUGGGUAACACUAACUGGAGGACCGAACCGACUAAUGUUGAAAAAUUAGCGGAUGACCUGUGGCUGGGGGUGAAAGGCCAAUCAAACCGGGAGAUAGCUGGUUCUCCCCGAAAGCUAUUUAGGUAGCGCCUCGUGAAUUCAUCUCCGGGGGUAGAGCACUGUUUCGGCUAGGGGGCCAUCCCGGCUUACCAACCCGAUGCAAACUGCGAAUACCGGAGAAUGUUAUCACGGGAGACACACGGCGGGUGCUAACGUCCGUCGUGAAGAGGGAAACAACCCAGACCGCCAGCUAAGGUCCCAAAGUCAUGGUUAAGUGGGAAACGAUGUGGGAAGGCCCAGACAGCCAGGAUGUUGGCUUAGAAGCAGCCAUCAUUUAAAGAAAGCGUAAUAGCUCACUGGUCGAGUCGGCCUGCGCGGAAGAUGUAACGGGGCUAAACCAUGCACCGAAGCUGCGGCAGCGACACUCAGGUGUUGUUGGGUAGGGGAGCGUUCUGUAAGCCUGUGAAGGUGGCCUGUGAGGGUUGCUGGAGGUAUCAGAAGUGCGAAUGCUGACAUAAGUAACGAUAAAGCGGGUGAAAAGCCCGCUCGCCGGAAGACCAAGGGUUCCUGUCCAACGUUAAUCGGGGCAGGGUGAGUCGACCCCUAAGGCGAGGCCGAAAGGCGUAGUCGAUGGGAAACGGGUUAAUAUUCCCGUACUUGGUGUUACUGCGAAGGGGGGACGGAGAAGGCUAUGUUGGCCGGGCGACGGUUGUCCCGGUUUAAGCGUGUAGGUGUGUGUUCCAGGUAAAUCCGGUUCACUUUAACACUGAGGCGUGACGACGAGGCACUACGGUGCUGAAGCAACAAAUGCCCUGCUUCCAGGAAAAGCCUCUAAGCAUCAGGUAACAUCAAAUCGUACCCCAAACCGACACAGGUGGUCAGGUAGAGAAUACCAAGGCGCUUGAGAGAACUCGGGUGAAGGAACUAGGCAAAAUGGUGCCGUAACUUCGGGAGAAGGCACGCUGACACGUAGGUGAAGUGAUUUACUCAUGGAGCUGAAGUCAGUCGAAGAUACCAGCUGGCUGCAACUGUUUAUUAAAAACACAGCACUGUGCAAACACGAAAGUGGACGUAUACGGUGUGACGCCUGCCCGGUGCCGGAAGGUUAAUUGAUGGGGUCAGCGCAAGCGAAGCUCCUGAUCGAAGCCCCGGUAAACGGCGGCCGUAACUAUAACGGUCCUAAGGUAGCGAAAUUCCUUGUCGGGUAAGUUCCGACCUGCACGAAUGGCGUAAUGAUGGCCAGGCUGUCUCCACCCGAGACUCAGUGAAAUUGAACUCGCUGUGAAGAUGCAGUGUACCCGCGGCAAGACGGAAAGACCCCGUGAACCUUUACUAUAGCUUGACACUGAACAUUGAGCCUUGAUGUGUAGGAUAGGUGGGAGGCUUUGAAGUGUGGACGCCAGUCUGCAUGGAGCC